rnacentral:lncRNA from 11 species
CUGGAGGGCCCAAGUUGCCCCAUGCCUGCUCUAAGUUGUUGUAUUAUUUUUUAUCAUUAGCCUCUUUGAGUCUCGUCUCUCUUUAGAGUGGGAUAAUGACUAAUAUCAAUCAUAACAGAGACCCAAAGCAGCUCACAAGUACUGUAAACAAUACAAUAGGUCCGGAUUUCCAUUAACUGUUGGGUCUGUUUCUGCUUCCUGCUGGAUUAAUUUUAGGGCUCUGAACCUUCUCCAUUGCCUUCACUGCGUUGUUUCCCUCCCUUCCUCCUAAUAAUCGAUGAGAUCUGAGCCUUUCCCUUGCCUGCGUGUCUUCGCUUUCGCCUCACGUCAUAUUUCGGAGGUUUUGGUGCUGAGGUCUUUCUCCCUCCUUCCCUCCCCUUUCCCACUUUCCCUCCCUCCUUGAGUUUUUCCUUUUGAUGUCAAACUCGGAGCUUUGGAGAGCCCGCGUGAGGCUGUCUUUUUUUAACCCCUCUCACGAGGGAGGGAGGGGGCGCGCGCGCCAAAAGCCCCGAGGGCCCGUCCUCCCACGCGCCGAAGCCUCGCACUCACUUCCUUGAUCUCGCCAGCUCUGACUUCAGCAGCUCCCAGUGGGCGGGGCCUCGGGCGCAGGAAGGAGGGGGCUUUCCUGCGCUGACGCAGAGGAAGAAGGCCAUAUAUGGUCAGUUUCUGCCCGGUGACGUUUCCGAGCCGGUCGGGCUCCAUUCCGGGAACCCCCGCCCACGUUGCCAGGCAGAGGCCCGGGACUGGGUCGGAUUUCCAGCCAAAGGGGGGAGGGAGGGAGGGAGUUGUGCGUGAGAGGGCCUUGGGCCGGGAAUGCCCCGUCUCCGCAGACCCACAGGCCCCGGUGGACCUAUUCGAACACGCCAACCCCCCUUCACACGUUCGCGCCGCAGCACUUCCUGACCUUCCUGGGUUGGCUUUCCCAUCACAAGCCCUCUCUGCCGUCAUGGAUGUUUUACUCAAAGUUGUCCGAAACUUCUUUCUUGCAAAACGACAAGCCAAAUGUGGAGGAUCCCCAUUGGUUUAGUUAAAGCAACAUACUGUUGAAACCUUGUUCUGUCCCAGAUGUAAAAAGGAAGAAGACAAUUUGCACUGCCCUGGUGUUAUCGACGGCCUGCUGCCCCCAGAAGUUCCUUGAGAAACUGCGGCAGAGAGGAAUGUGGCCGGAGGGUGUGUGUGCCACAGCUGAUGGCCUCUGAUGGGCACACAUGUUGUGAGAGAGA